AACGAACGCUGGCGGCAGGCCUAACACAUGCAAGUCGAGCGCCCCGCAAGGGGAGCGGCAGACGGGUGAGUAACGCGUGGGAAUCUACCCAUCUCUACGGAAUAACGCAUGGAAACGUGUGCUACUACCGUAUACGUCCUUCGGGAGAAAGAUUUAUCGGAGAUGGAUGAGCCCGCGUUGGAUUAGCUAGUUGGUGGGGUAAAGGCCUACCAAGGCGACGAUCCAUAGCUGGUCUGAGAGGAUGAUCAGCCACACUGGGACUGAGACACGGCCCAGACUCCUACGGGAGGCAGCAGUGGGGAAUAUUGGACAAUGGGCGCAAGCCUGAUCCAGCCAUGCCGCGUGAGUGAUGAAGGCCCUAGGGUUGUAAAGCUCUUUCACCGGUGAAGAUAAUGACGGUAACCGGAGAAGAAGCCCCGGCUAACUUCGUGCCAGCCGCCGCCGUAAUAC
rnacentral:rRNA from 1 species